AUACGUAGGGGGCGAGCGUUAUCCGGAAUUAUUGGGCGUAAAGAGUGCGUAGGUGGUUGUUUAAGCGUGGGGUGAAAGGCAAUAGCUCAACUAUUGUAAGCCCCGCGAACUGGGCGACUUGAGUGCAGGAGAGGAAAGCGGAAUUCCUAGUGUAGCGGUGAAAUGCGUAGAUAUUAGGAGGAACACCAGUGGCGAAGGCGGCUUUCUGGACUGUAACUGACACUGAGGCACGAAAGCGUGGGGAGCAAACAGGAUUAGAUACCCUGGUAGUCCACGCCGUAAACGAUGAGCACUAGGUGUCGGGGCCGCAAGGCUUCGGUGCCGCAGUUAACGCAUUAAGUGCUCCGCCUGGGGAGUACGUACGCAAGUAUGAA
rnacentral:rRNA from 1 species